AUUAACGCUAGCGGCAGGCAUAAUACAUGCAAGUUGAACGGCAGCACAGGUAGCAAUACUGGGUGGCGAGUGGCGCACGGGUGCGUAACACGUAUGCAACCUACCCUAUACAGGCGAAUAACCUUUAGAAAUGAGGGCUAAUACGCCGUAGUAUUACAGAUGGGCAUCUAUUUGUAAUUAAAGAUUUAUCGGUAUAGGAUGGGCAUGCGUCCCAUUAGUUAGUUGGUAGGGUAACGGCCUACCAAGGCGAUGAUGGGUAGGGG
rnacentral:rRNA from 1 species